rnacentral:rRNA from 1 species
UACGUAGGGUGCAGGCGUUAAUCGGAAUUACUGGGCGUAAAGCGUGCGCAGGCGGUUUGCUAAGACAGGUGUGAAAUCCCCGGGCUUAACCUGGGAAUUGCGCUUGUAACUGGCAAGCUAGAGUGUGGCAGAGGGGGGUGGAAUUCCACGUGUAGCAGUGAAAUGCGUAGAUAUGUGGAGGAACACCGAUGGCGAAGGCAGCCCCCUGGGUUAACACUGACGCUCAUGCACGAAAGCGUGGGGAGCAAACAGG